ACGGCCGUACCAUGCUGAAUAUACCGGUUCUCGUUAGAUCACCGAAGUUAAGCAUCAUUGGGCGCGGUCAGUACUUGGGUGUUGACCACCUGGGAACACCGCAUGCAG
rnacentral:rRNA from 1 species